rnacentral:rRNA from 1 species
AUUGAACGCUGGCGGCAUGCCUUACACAUGCAAGUCGAACGGUAACGGGUCCUUCGGGAUGCCGACGAGUGGCGAACGGGUGAGUAAUAUAUCGGAACGUGCCCAGUAGUGGGGGAUAACUGCUCGAAAGAGCAGCUAAUACCGCAUACGACCUGAGGGUGAAAGGGGGGGAUAGCAAGACCUCUCGCUAUUGGAGCGGCCGAUAUCAGAUUAGCUAGUUGGUGGGGUAAAGGCCUACCAAGGCAACGAUCUGUAGUUGGUCUGAGAGGACGACCAGCCACACUGGGACUGAGACACGGCCUAGACUCCUACGGGAGGCAGCAGUGGGGAAUUUUGGACAAUGGGCGCAAGCCUGAUCCAGCAAUGCCGCGUGCAGGAAGAAGGCCUUCGGGUUGUAAACUGCUUUUGUCAGGGAAGAAAUCUUCUGGGCUAAUACCCCGGGAGGAUGACGGUACCUGAAGAAUAAGCACCGGCUAACUACGUGCCAGCCGCCGCAGUAA